UACGAAGGGGGCUAGCGUUGUUCGGAAUUACUGGGCGUAAAGCGCGCGUAGGCGGACAUUUAAGUCAGGGGUGAAAUGCCGGGGCUCAACCUCGGAACUGCCUUUGAUACUGGAUGUCUGGAGUUCGGGAGAGGUGAGUGGAAUUCCGAGUGUAGAGGUGAAAUUCGUAGAUAUUCGGAGGAACACCAGAAGCGAAGGCGGCUCACUGGCCCGGUACUGACGCUGAGGCACGAAAGCGUGGGGAGCAAACAGG
rnacentral:rRNA from 1 species